rnacentral:misc_RNA from 1 species
GAUGAAGAACGUAGCGAAAUGCGAUAACUAAUGUGAAUUGCAGAAUUCAGUGAAUCAUCGAAUCUUUGAACGCACAUUGCGCCCGCCAGUAUUCUGGCGGGCAUGCCUGUUCGAGCGUCAUUACAACCCUCAGGCCCCCGGGCCUGGCGUUGGGGAUCGGCGGAAGCCCCCUGCGGGCACAACGCCGUCCCCCAAAUACAGUGGCGGUCCCGCCGCAGCUUCCAUUGCGUAGUAGCUAACACCUCGCAACUGGAGAGCGGCGCGGCCACGCCGUAAAACACCCAACUUCUGAAUGUUGACCUCGAAUCAGGUAGGAAUACCCGCUGAACUUAAGCAUAUCAAUAAGCGGAGGA